GUCACCUAGGGAUCUUGUUAAAACAAAGAUUCUGAUUCACUAGGGUCUGUCAUGGUACCCAAGAAUUUGCAUUUUUAGCAAGCUCCCAGGUGAUGACAA
rnacentral:pre_miRNA from 1 species